rnacentral:rRNA from 1 species
AGAGUUUGAUCCUGGCUCAGGACGAACGCUGGCGGCGUGCUUAACACAUGCGAGUCGAGCGAGGCCCUCCUUCGGGGGGUGCCCUAGCGGCGAACGGGUGAGUAACACGUGGGCAACCUGCCCUCAGCUCUGGGAUAACUCCAAGAAAUUGGUGCUAAUACCGGAUGUGACCGCUGACCGCAUGGUCUGGUGGUGGAAAGAUUCAUCGGCUGAGGAUGGGCCCGCGGCCUAUCAGCUUGUUGGUGGGGUAAUGGCCCACCAAGGCGACGACGGGUAGCCGGCCUGAGAGGGUGACCGGCCACACUGGGACUGAGACACGGCCCAGACUCCUACGGGAGGCAGCAGUGGGGAAUAUUGCGCAAUGGGCGAAAGCCUGACGCAGCGACGCCGCGUGAGGGAUGACGGCCUUCGGGUUGUAAACCUCUUUCAGUAGGGACGAAGCGCAAGUGACGGUACCUACAGAAGAAGCACCGGCCAACUACGUGCCAGCAGCCGCGGUAAUACGUAGGGUGCAAGCGUUGUCCGGAAUUAUUGGGCGUAAAGAGCUCGUAGGCGGUCUGUCACGUCGGCUGUGAAAACCCGAGGCUCAACCUCGGGCCUGCAGUCGAUACGGGCAAACUAGAGUACUGCAGGGGAGACUGGAAUUCCUGGUGUAGCGGUGAAAUGCGCAGAUAUCAGGAGGAACACCGGUGGCGAAGGCGGGUCUCUGGGCAGUAACUGACGCUGAGGAGCGAAAGCGUGGGGAGCGAACAGGAUUAGAUACCCUCGUAGUCC